UACGUAGGGGGCAAGCGUUGUCCGGAAUUACUGGGCGUAAAGCGCGUGUAGGCGGGACGGUUAGUCGGACGUGAAAGGCUGGGGCUCAACCCCAGAUCGCCGUUCGAACUGCCGUUCUUGAGGGUCGAAGAGGAGAGUGGAAUUCCUGGUGUAGCGGUGAAAUGCGUAGAGAUCAGGGAGGAACACCCAUGGCGAAGGCAGCUCUCUGGUCGACAUCUGACGCUGGAGGUGCGAAAGCGUGGGGGAGCAAACACGG
rnacentral:rRNA from 1 species